GAUGAACGCUGGCGGCGUGCCUAACACAUGCAAGUCGAGCGAGAAAUUUAUGGACGAUAUUUCGAUUGAGUUUGUAAAUGGAAAGCGGCGGACGGGUGAGUAACGCGUAGGUAACCUGCCCCAUACAGAGGGAUAGCCACUGGAAACGGUGAUUAAUACCUCAUAAAACUAAGAAUACACAUGUAUGCUCAGCCAAAGAUUUAUCGGUAUGGGAUGGACCUGCGUCUGAUUAGUUAGUUGGUGAGGUAACGGCUCACCAAGGCGACGAUCAGUAGCCGACCUGAGAGGGUGAUCGGCCACAUUGGAACUGAGACACGGUCCAA
rnacentral:rRNA from 1 species